ACACACAUACCAAGAACAACUGAUCUGGAAGGGACAUGGGCAAACCACUACUUCUAAUUCUCAUUAUCAUCACUGAAAUAAUAGCUGACAGCAUUGAUCCUGAUCGGGACCGUGUAAGUCACCCAGAAGGAAUGAAAACAGUUACCCUGAAAUGUUCAUAUGAGACAAGCAGCCGUUAUGUUUACCUUUACUGGUACAGACAGUAUCCUCAUCAGGCACCCCAAUGGCUUCUAUGGAAAGGUGCUCGAUCAUACGGUGGUGAUGAGAGCUCAGACCCACGAUUUGCCUCUAAUACUGGUGAAACAUUUACUGAACUCAUCAUUAAAGAUCUGACUCUGGCAGACACAGCUCUCUACUACUGUGCUCUGAGGGUAGCCCAGUGAUACAAAGACUCAGAGAAGCUGUACAAAAACUCACAUUUUA